UAGGUGAUAGAUCUGAAUUACUUGGAGAGUC
rnacentral:piRNA from 1 species